rnacentral:rRNA from 1 species
CGGAUCGCAGUCUGCAACUCGACUGCGUGAAGGUGGAGUCGCUAGUAAUCGCGGAUCAGCAACGCCGCGGUGAAUGCGUUCCCGGGCCUUGUACACACCGCCCGUCAAGUCAUGAAAGUGGGCAGCACCCGAAGACGGUGGCCUAACCCUUGUGGGGGGAGCCGUCUAAGGUGAGGCUCGUGAUUGGGACUAAGUCGUAACAAGGUACC